CCAGGGCUCGCAGCUAGUUUCAGUAACUUCAACUUGCGUAAGACCCCAUGUUUGUGAAAACAACCCAAGAAUCUGAACAGGAUGUAAUCAACCUCCGAUCUGCUGAGAAAUACUGCAAAAAUGACUUCAGCUGCCAAAAAUAAUAAUGUCGUUUACAAGCAGCUCUUCCUAUGUCUAAGGAAGAACUAGUCACACAUGCGAGUUUUUGCUGGCUUGAGAACAAGCAAGGAAAAAGACAAAUCCCACCUCCCCAAGCCUAAAAUACACAGAGAGUCUCAGAACCCCGUGGAAGCUGUGGCUCAUUCCUAAAGGUGCCGGCAAUAUCGAGGAAGACUUGUAUCCACAAAAUUCCAAAUGAAUAAAUUAUCAAGUCAUUAUUGAGAAUUUGUAUCUAAGUGACCUGGCAGAAACCAUGGAGAUGAUAUUGGAUAUAAAGAGCAAAAACUCAAAGCAACGUGUUCUGAUCAAGAAACGGCUGGAAAUGGCAGCAACCUGAUAUAGAACAAUCAAGAACUGAAGGUUUGUUUUGAACGAGAGGUGUUGUCCAACUGUGAGACUGAAUGAAGCUGAGAAUGAAUGGAAACACAAUCAACAGUCACUCCAGCUGUGCAGUUAUUGAGACCUACCUUGAAAAUUUCAUGUCUCUUCUCUCUCUGCAGCCACGUUAACACUGCAUCCACAGGUUGCAAUACUGUUAAUGAAGGAGAGAAAAAGUCCUUCCAUUUAUUCUUAUUCUUGUUCUUAAUGAAAAUUUUUGAGCUGUUACAUUUUGAAAUGACAAUGAUAAAGCAACUCUUUGAGAAUAAGAGAGACAAUAUAUUACAAAGUCAACUUGUAUAUUGGACAGGUAAAAAUGCCUCCUGGUUACAUUGUCUUUAACACAUUUCUUCUAUGGUCAGUCAUCAAUGUUGUUUUCUGUUUUCUGUCGUUGUAUGGUUACGGAUAAACUCAUUGUAUUCUUCCUGGUCCCUACCAAUGUUGUCCUUAUAUUGAUACAGGCAUCAGGAACUACUCAAUAAAUAUUUGUUGUGGGACAAACUAUAA